CCUACGGGGGGCAGCAGUGAGGAAUAUUGGUCAAUGGACGAGAGUCUGAACCAGCCAAGUAGCGUGAAGGAUGACUGCCCUAUGGGUUGUAAACUUCUUUUAUAAAGGAAUAAAACGAGGCACGUGUGCCUUUUUGCAUGUACUUUAUGAAUAAGGAUCGGCUAACUCCGUGCCAGCAGCCGCGGUAAUACGGAGGAUCCGAGCGUUAUCCGGAUUUAUUGGGUUUAAAGGGUGCGUAGAUGGGUUGUUAAGUCAGUCGUGAAAGUUUGCGGCUCAACCGUAAAAUUGCAAUUGAUACUGGUAGUCUUGAGUACAGUUGAGGUAGGCGGAAUUCGUGGUGUAGCGGUGAAAUGCUUAGAUAUCACGAAGAACCCCGAUUGCGAAGGCAGCUUACUAACCUGUGACUGACAUUGAUGCUCGAAAGUGUGGGUAUCAAACAGGAUUAGAUACCCCGGUAGUC
rnacentral:rRNA from 1 species